CUGACCAGACAAGGGCAUUGUCCCCACUCAGAAAUGCUCCAAAAGAACUAAGGAGAAGGAUUAGAGGAGACAAAAUGUUUUUGCUAAAUUCUUGCACUGAAGCCAGAGUUGCUCAGGAAAUAACAGCUCAGUUUGUUAGCUCUGAUCUCUAAUUCCAUCCCAAAUUCAUAACGUUAUUUUUUUUGUUUGUUUCCAUUGUUCAUUUGUUGUGUGCCUCUUAGGAUGUCCCUUUCCAUCUGGGCCUCAAUGACCUUCCCUGGGAAAUGGGGUACUUGUACUUAACCAUACCCCUGCUUCUAAAGACAAACUGGGAAAAUUAAAUGGAAAUUCUAAAAGAAAGCUUCAUCUUUUAGUUCCUUAGAGAACUAGCAUUACAGUUGAUUACCUAGGUGAUGAUUCAAGCUAUUCAACCCUUGUCAUUCUGAAUGUACUUCUCUUCCAGCUUGCCUUGGAAAGAAAAUCAGCCAGUUAAAGAAAGCAUCAGCUGGAACUCUCUCAGCUCUCAGUGACUGCAGAGUGAACUAUGGCAUUCAGCAUAGAAAAUGUUCUUCCAGUGCUCCAAUAAAUAGCAUUCAGUUUUUAGCCCCAGGGAAUUCAGUGUAGCCCUGGUUACUCCUCACUGCCACAGCCAACACUGCUUCCUUGGGUAGGAGAAAUGAUUUAUGGAGGUGAGCAGCCAUUCCAAACUUUAAUUAAGCACGUAAAGAACCAUCAAUUUUUUAAAGGGCACCAACCCAGAAAGAUGAGAGCUGAACUCCUGUAGAACAUAAUUACCUUUCCAACAUUUUAUCUGAUCUCCUUGUUUUACUUCUCUAAGAUGAGCUGAACAACAGCCAAUCAACCACCCCCACAGAAACCAUGGAAAUGCACAGGCCACCCUUGGACCAUGACAUACAGGGCAUCUGACUGAUAGUCCCACCAAGACUGCCUAUGAUCAUAAAUGUCCAGCUGUUUGGGCAGACAGCAGUCAAGGCUGUGCUGUGGUGCAG
rnacentral:lncRNA from 1 species